rnacentral:rRNA from 1 species
GAAAUCCCUCGGGAUGUAAACUUCGCAAGAACGGGAAGAAUAAGUAGGGGACAAUACCCCCUAUGAUGACGGUACCGUUUGUAAGCUCCGGCUAACUCCGUGCCAGCAGCCGCGGUAAUACGGGGGGAGCAAGCGUUGUUCGGAUUUACUGGGCGUAAAGGGCGCGUAGGCGGCCAGCACAAGUCAGUUGUGAAAUCUCCGAGCUUAACUCGGAAAGGUCAACUGAUACUGUGCGGCUAGAGUGCNGAAGGGGCAACUGGAAUUCUUGGUGUAGCGGUGAAAUGCGUAGAUAUCAAGAGGAACACCUGCGGCGAAGGCGGGUUGCUGGGCUGACACUGACGCUGAGGCGCGAAAGCUAGGGGAGCGAACGGGAUUAGAUACCCCGGUAGUCCUAGCCUUAAACGAUGAAUGCUUGGUGUCUGGGGUUAUAAAGUCCCCGGGUGCCGUCGCUAACGCUUUAAGCAUUCCGCCUGGGGAGUACGGUCGCAAGACUGAAACUCAAAGG